CCUACGGGUGGCAGCAGUGGGGAAUAUUGCGCAAUGGGCGAAAGCCUGACGCAGCCACGCCGCGUGAGGGAUGAAGGUCUUCGGAUCGGAAACCUCUGUCAGCAGGGAAGAACGGUCACUGUGCUAAUCAGCAGUGAAUUGACGGUACCUGCAAAGGAAGCACCGGCUAACUCCGUGCCAGCAGCCGCGGUAAUACGGAGGGUGCGAGCGUUAAUCGGAAUUACUGGGCGUAAGGGGCUCGUAGGCGGUAUGUCAAGUCAAGGGUGAAAUCCCCGCGCUCAACGUGGGAAUUGCCUUUGAAACUGGCAAACUGGAGUGUGUGUGAGGAUAGUGGAAUUCCAGGUGUAGGAGUGAAAUCCGUAGAUAUCUGGAGGAACAUCAGUGGCGAAGGCGACUAUCUGGCACAUAACUGACGCUGAGGAGCGAAAGCGUGGGUAGCAAACAGGAUUAGAUACCCUUGUAGUC
rnacentral:rRNA from 1 species